rnacentral:rRNA from 1 species
CCUACGGGGGGCAGCAGUGGGGAAUAUUGGACAAUGGGGGCAACCCUGAUCCAGCCAUGCCGCGUGUGUGAAGAAGGCCCUCGGGUUGUAAAGCACUUUCAGUGAGGAAGAACGCCUGGUGGUUAAUACCCAUCAGGAAAGACAUCACUCACAGAAGAAGCACCGGCUAACUCCGUGCCAGCAGCCGCGGUAAGACGGAGGGUGCGAGCGUUAAUCGGAAUUACUGGGCGUAAAGCGCGCGUAGGUGGCUUGAUAAGCCGGUUGUGAAAGCCCCGGGCUCAACCUGGGAACGGCAUCCGGAACUGUCAAGCUAGAGUGCAGGAGAGGAAGGUAGAAUUCCCGGUGUAGCGGUGAAAUGCGUAGAGAUCGGGAGGAAUACCAGUGGCGAAGGCGGCCUUCUGGACUGACACUGACACUGAGGUGCGAAAGCGUGGGUAGCAAACAGGAUUAGAUACCCUAGUAGUC